rnacentral:rRNA from 1 species
AUUGAACGCUGGCGGCAGGCUUAACACAUGAAAGUCGAGCGAGCGGAGGACGGGUGAGUAAGGUCUGGGAAACUGCCUGAGGGAGGGGGAUAAAUAGUGGAAACGGUAGCAAAUACCGCAUAGCAUAAGAGGUGGCGAGAUGUGAUUAGCUAUUAGGUGGGGUAAUGGCUCACUUAGGCGACGAUCUCUAGCUGGUCUGAGAGGAUGACCAGCCACACUGUGCCUGUGACACGGCCCAGCCUCCUCCGGGAGGCAGCAGUGGGGAAUAUUGCGCAAUGGGGGCAACCCUUACGCAGCCAUGCCGCGUGAAUUAAGAAGCCCUUCGGGUUGUAAAGUUCUUUCGUUAGCGAGGCGUUAACUACAGAAUAAGCCCCGGCUAACUCCGUGCCAGCAGCCGCGGUAAUUC